rnacentral:rRNA from 1 species
AGUGAACGCUGGCGGUAGGCCUAACACAUGCCAGUCGAACGGCAGCACAGUAAGAGCUUGCUCUUACGGGUGGCGAGUGGCGGACGGGUGAGGAAUACAUCGGAAUCUACUUUUUCGUGGGGGAUAACGUAGGGAAACUUACGCUAAUACCGCAUACGACCUACGGGUGAAAGCAGGGGAUCUUCGGACCUUGCGCGAUUGAAUGAGCCGAUGUCGGAUUAGCUAGUUGGCGGGGUAAAGGCCCACCAAGGCGACGAUCCGUAGCUGGUCUGAGAGGAUGAUCAGCCACACUGGAACUGAGACACGGUCCUGACUCCUACGGGAGGCAGCAGUGGGGAAUAUUGGACAAUGGGCGCAAGCCUGAUCCAGCCAUACCGCGUGGGUGAAGAAGGCCUUCGGGUUGUAAAGCCCUUUUGUUGGGAAAGAAAAGCAGCAGGUUAAUACCCCGCUGUUCUGACGGUACCCAAAGAAUAAGCACCGGCUAACUUCGUG